rnacentral:lncRNA from 1 species
GGAAAGAGAACAACCACCACGUUUUGCUCAACCUGGGACGUAUGCAUCUCGAUGGAAGGCUCUUGAAGAAAUGGAAAAGCAGCAGCGUGAGCAGGUUGAUAGAAACAUCAGAGAAGCCAAAGAGAAACUGGAGGCAGAAAUGGAAGCAGCUAGGCAUGAACACCAAUUAAUGCUAAUGAGGCAAGAUCUAAUGAGGCAUCAAGAAGAACUCAGAUGCUUGGAAGAACUCAGAAAUCAAGAGUUGCAGAGGGAGAGAACAGGAAAUGAGAAUGGGUGAUAUGGGUCCCUGUGGAGCAAUAAACAUGGGAGAUGCGUUUAGCCCAGCCCCUGCUGGUAACCAAGGUCCUCCUCCAAUGACGGGUAUGAAUAUGAACAACAGAGCAACUAUACCUGGCCCACCAAUGGGUCCUGGUCCUGCCAUGGGACCAGAAGGAGCCGCAAAUAUGGGAACUCCAAUGAUGCCAGAUAAUGGAGCAGUGCACAAUGACAGAUUUCCUCAAGGACCACCAUCUCAGAUGGGUUCACCUAUGGGGAGUAGAACAGGUUCUGAAACCCCUCAAGCACCAAUGAGUGGCGUAGGUCCUGUGAGUGGUGGUCCUGGUGGCUUUGGUAGAGGAAGUCAAGGGGGCAACUUUGAAGGCCCUAAUAAGCGUCGUAGAUAUUAA